rnacentral:lncRNA from 1 species
UUUUUAGAAUUCGAAGUCAUCACCCACUCCAAUCGGUUCUUUCCCUCAACCUCUAUCAAUCGUCUUAUUCUUAUUCGAUCAAUUCCAAUCCCCCAUACCUGAUACCCCAAGCAGAUGCUUGUCUCUACCCAUCGGUUUCUAUUUCUACCACUGUACCACUCAUAAGUCACGGUCCGGCGAACCACCACUGCACCACCAGACGACCCAUCAUAACCGCUCGAUCGGAUCCUAGUUUCUUGACUCCUCGCUUCAGUUCUAACUUCAGCCCUAAGCAGGUACUCUUUCUCUUCCAUCAACCUUACUUCAAUUACAUUUAGGGUUUUAAUUAAAUCGUUGAAUUUGGUUGUAAAUGUGUGUAACUAUCUGAGGCGGUAUAUAGCAGUAGAAAAAAUUGCAUAGCAAAUCCAAAGAGUGGCAUCUUUUACACCAUUGUAUUAUGUUUUGUGCCAAAGAGUGGCAUUUUUUGCACCAUUGUAUUAUGUUUUGAGGUAAUCCGAUUUGUUGGAGUCAAUAGGAAUAUGACAGUUGAUUGCAUUAAGAAAAGGGGAAUUUUUCUCAGCAUUGUUGCAAUUGUGGUGCUUAAUCGGUUGUUACGGGUCACGCGGAUCAAAUGAGUCACGGGUCAGCAGUUCAAAUGGGUAAAUCGGUCAGAAUUAUGUUUAACUUGCAGCAGGAGUUGUGUUUAUUUUUCUGUUAAUAGGUCAAAUAGUGGGCUUUUAGUUAUGGGUCACGUUUUCUUUUUUGUAGGGUUGUUUCUGAGUUACUCCCAAUCACGAUCGGGAAGUGGAGUCUAGAUCCAGUUUUUUGGUUUAAUGAAAUCCCAUUUGGCCGUUAGAAUAACAAAGAUGCUGGUGUAAACGAGAGCUCGGCUCGGAAUGAGCCGAGCUUAAAUGACCCAAGAGGAACAUCAUUAAUCUUAAUUUACCAUCAUUUACCCAUCAUCUUCAUUUUACUCAAUAUCAAGGGAGAUAUGGUGAUUGUGCACAACGUUUUAAAAUCCGGUUUUUAUACCGUAUCGGAUUAGGCUCAAAAACAGUUUAACCGGGUGUAUCGGGUGGUUCAACCGGGUGUAUCGGGCGUUUAACCGGUUCUGUUGUUCUAUUGGGCUAUGUGGGCGGUCACUCGGAAUUGGCAUAGAAAGAAGAAGACCAUGCAUGAUUCAAUGCCAGCAUAUAUUUCUUGGGUCCGGUUGAAACCAGUUUAGCUCAAACCAAUUUGAUACUGCAGAUCGGGUCAGUUGAAGUUUCUAUUCAAGCCAAUACUUGGAUUGUUAGCGGUUCUCCUCAAGUACAGCGUUGAGAGCACUUCCAACAGUGUAGCCAAGAGACAUUGAUGACACCCGAUCACAGUUCAACUCUUCAAGAGCUUAAAUCUCCUAAGGGACCACACGACAAGGGUACAAGUUCAGCUUUUUGGCUCAGCUCACGGCACACGUAAUCCUAUUUGCACGCUUGCUGAUAUGGAUGUCAAGGCCGAUGUAGCCAAAGCUCCUGUUGCUGUUGCUUAGUGUGUUUUCACCUCUUAGUUUAGUUGAUAUAUAAUAAUUUGUACUGUUGCUUAGUGUGUUCUCGCCUCUUAGUUUAGUUGAUAUAUAAUAACUUGUACCGUGAAUACAGAGAAACGACGAACCAAACAAGGAAUUACCUAGCUUAACAAAAGUGUUUGAACUUACACGGAAAAGGAACGAAAGACGUUCAUAUCUUGAUACAUAUGACGAUACGGCAACGAAAAUUCCAUAAUAUUUGACUUCUCCAAAAACACUAGGCUACUUUUCCAGUCUUUUUAAGGUGAAUCAAUGUAGAAAUUGAAGAUGAUCAUCAAAGGAAAAAAGCUGAGAUAGAAGCUAUGAAGAAAGAUUUUCACAGCUAACAAGCACAUUUGGAAUCUAGGAUACAAAGUGUUUUGAAAAAGCUACCGGUUGAAGUACUUCAAGAUCUUCAAGAUGAGUAGAAAGUUUUUGUUGCUUUUUAUCAUUGUAAUCGACAACUUUGUUUUCAUUACGUUGUUUUUUAGUUUGGAAUAUGUUAAACUACUAUAUAAGAUAUUUAUGUUAUUAUUACAUUGGUUGAAUUAUCUAAUAGAAAAUUUAGUAUU